rnacentral:rRNA from 1 species
UACGAGGGGGGCAAGCGUUGUUCGGAAUUAUUGGGCGUAAAGGGUGCGUAGGCGGUCUGAUAAGUCAUCUGUGAAAUCUAUGGGCUCAGCCCAUAGUCUGCAGGCGAAACUGUCGGGCUUGAGUAUGGGAGAGGUGAGUGGAAUUUCCGGUGUAGCGGUGAAAUGCGUAGAUAUCGGAAGGAACACCUGUGGCGAAAGCGGCUCACUGGACCAUUACUGACGCUGAGGCACGAAAGCUAGGGGAGCAAACAGG